GCCUGGUGGUGUGUGUGUGUGUGUGUGUGUGUGUACGGGCCUGGUGGUGUGUGUGUGUGUGUGUGUUCGGGCCUGGUGGUGUGGGCUUAUGUACGUGGGAGGAGGAUUUGUUUUUUUCCCAGACUGGGCUGCCAAAGAAUGAGAUACUGGGAUGUACCUUGGGGGAGUGAGUUGAUGAGUGGGCAGGAGGCAGUGGGAGGAGGUAGUGAAGAGAACAAGAUGAUUGCUGCUGCUGCUGCUGCUGCUGAUGAUGAUGAUGAUGAUGAUGAUGAUGAACUUACGAAUCCGUAUCCUCGGGACUUGCCGGUCUGCUUGUCGGUGAUCACCACCGCCUCGUCGAUGUCCCCGAACGUGUCGAAGUAUUUCCGGAGCGACGCGUCGUCGGUGUGGUACGGCAGCCCGCCGACGAAGAUCUUGGUGUGAGUGGUGUCCUUGUCCCCGGGGCCGGUGGAGCCGGUGGAGCCGGUGGAGCCGGUGGGGUGCAUGGUCUCCAGCGGCAGCCCGAGCAGCUGAGCCAGGAACAGCGGAGAACUCAUGCGGCUCGGGAAGUCAAGAAAAGAUGGAGAGACAGAGAGAGAGAGAGAGAGAGAGAGAGAGAGAGAGAGAGAGAGAGAGAGAGAAACCCAAUAACUUGACGCUCCUCGGUCACAGAGCGGCUGCAUCCACCAUCAGAGCGCGUCCAUGGCUCAGUGCGCAGCCUCCAGUCGAUUGGUAAAAAAACAAAAAGAAUUUGGACAAAUCAGAAUGUGGAUCUGAUGACGCGUCAGGAAGUCUCCUGAGGGAAACAUGAAUGAGAGCAAACAAGGAGCAAGAGGAGAAGUCACAAGAUCCAGAUUCAUCAUCAUCUUCAAAAAGAAAACACAUUUUCAUGUUUGUACAAAUUUCAUGGAAAUCCAUCGGAUGGUUGUCGAGAUAUUUGAGUCUGGACUGGUACAGACAGACGCUUCACUGCUGCUGUGGAAGAUUUAAAAAAUAAUAAUGAUGAAAUAUUGAACACAGCAUUGGAAUGAAAUGACAUUAAAACAAAAGUGAAAUGAAAAAAGA